AACGAACGCUGGCGGCAGGCUUAACACAUGCAAGUCGAGCGCCCCUCCAGGGGAGCGGCAGACGGGUGAUGAACGCGUGGGAAUCUACCCAUCUCUACGGAAUAACGCAUGGAAACGUGUGCUAAUACCGUAUACGUCCUUCGGGAGAAAGAUUUAUCGGAGAUGGAUGAGCCCGCGUUGGAUUAGCUAGUUGGUGGGGUAAAGGCCUACCAAGGCGACGAUCCAUAGCUGGUCUGAGAGGAUGAUCAGCCACACUGGGACUGAGACACGGCCCAGACUCCUACGGGAGGCAGCAGUGGGGAAUAUUGGACAAUGGGCGCAAGCCUGAUCCAGCCAUGCCGCGUGAGUGAUGAAGGCCCUAGGGUUGUAAAGCUCUUUCACCGGUGAAGAUAAUGACGGUAACCGGAGAAGAAGCCCCGGCUAACUUCGUGCCAGCCGCCGCUGUAACAC
rnacentral:rRNA from 1 species